rfam:Natranaerobius thermophilus JW/NM-WN-LF, complete genome.
GGUCAAGGUAAUAAGGGCGUACGGUGGAUGCCUUGGCGCCAGGAGGCGAAGAAGGACGCGGCCAGCGGCGAAACGCCACGGAUAGCCGUAAGCAGGCAACGACCCGUGGAUUUCCGAAUGGGGGAACCCACCUGGGACAAAUCCCAGGUACCGUAUGGUGAAUUAAGUAGCCAUACGGGGCGACACCCGGGGAACUGAAACAUCUUAGUACCCGGAGGAACAGAAAGCAAAAGCGAUUUCCCAAGUAGCGGCGAGCGAACGGGAAAGAGCCCAAACCUGUGCAGUGUAGAAGUCUGACUGCGUUGCUGCACGGGGGUUGAGGGUAGUACCGAUCCUUCAGUCAGGAAGGAGGUAGUAUUACAGUUUACUAGCCGAACCCGGUUGGAAGGCCGGGCCAGAGAGGGUGAAAGCCCCGUAGGCGAAAGUAAAUUGUAAGCUACUGGUACUCACCCGAGUACCACGGGGCUCGAGGAACCCUGUGGGAAGCAGGGAGGACCACCUCCCAAGGCUAAAUACUCCCUGGCGACCGAUAGUGCACAAGUACCGUGAGGGAAAGGUGAAAAGCACCCCGGGAGGGGAGUGAAAUAGAACCUGAAACCGUAUGCCUACAAUCAGUGGAAGCACCGUAAGGUGUGACCGCGUACUUUUUGUAGUACGGGCCGGCGAGUUACGAUCUAGAGCGAGGUUAAGGGCCACAGGUCCGGAGCCGUAGGGAAACCGAGUCUGAAUAGGGCGCAUAGUUUUAGAUCGUAGACCCGAAACCGAGUGACCUACCCAUGGCCAGGGUGAAGCUUGGGUAAAACCGAGUGGAGGCCCGAACCCACUGACGUUGAAAAGUCAGGGGAUGAGCUGUGGGUAGAGGUGAAAUGCUAAUCGAACUCGGAGAUAUCUGGUUCUCCCCGAAAUAGCUUUAGGGCUAGCCUCGAGGGUUGAAUAGUGGAGGUAGAGCACUGAUUGGGCUAGGGUCCCCAUCCGGAUACCGAACCCAGUCAAACUCCGAAUGCCACUAUUUAAAACCUCGGGAGUCAGACCAUGGGUGAUAAGAUUCAUGGUCGAGAGGGAAACAGCCCAGACCAUCAGCUAAGGUCCCCAAGUACAGGCUAAGUGGAAAAGGAAGUGGGAUCGCAGAGACAACCAGGAUGUUGGCCUAGAAGCAGCCAUCAUUUAAAGAGUGCGUAACAGCUCACUGGUCAAGCGAUCCUGCGCCGAAAAUUUCCGGGGCUCAAGCCUGUCACCGAAGCUAUGGCUUGCGUGGCACUUAACCUAAUCUUUUAGGUUAAGCAAAGCACUAGAAAUUUCGUGGAUGUUUUGCGAGCGAUUUUGAUAGUUGUAAGCGAAGCAAAAAACCACCAAAUCAAACCAGCUAAAGCCAAAUUUAGAGGCUUAGGUUAAGUGCCACGCGAGGGUAGGGGAGCGUUCCCUACGGGUAGAAGUCGCAUCGGAAGGUGCGGUGGACUGUAGGGAAGUGAGAAUGCCGGCAUGAGUAACGAGAGACAGGUGAGAAACCUGUCCGCCGAAAGCCCAAGGUUUCCUGAGGAAGGCUUGUCCGCUCAGGGUAAGUCGGGACCUAAGCCGAGGCCGAAAGGCGUAGGCGAUGGGAAACUGGUGGAAAUUCCAGUACCACCUAAGAACCGUUUGAGUGAUGGGGUGACGCAGUAGGGUAGGUUGAGCGCGGUGUUGGUUAUCCGCGUCCAAGCGACCGAGGUAGCAGGGAUAGGCAAAUCCGUCCCUGUAACGAUCUGAGGCGCGAUGGGGAGUGAAACUAGAAGUAGCGAACUCACCGAUCCCCCACUGCCGGGAAAAGCCUCUAGCGAGGUUCUUGGGUGCCCGUACCGUAAACCGACACAGGUGGGCAGGGUGAGAAACCCAAGGCGACCGGGAGAACCCUUGUUAAGGAACUCGGCAAAAAGGCCCCGUAACUUCGGGAGAAGGGGUGCCCCGCUAGGGUGAUUGUUUAUACAUGAGCCCGAGGGGGUCGCAGUGAAGAGGCCCGAGCGACUGUUUACCAAAAACACAGGUCUCUGCUAAGUCGUAAGACGAAGUAUAGGGGCUGACGUCUGCCCGGUGCUGGAAGGUUAAGGGGAGGAGUUAGCCGUAAGGCGAAGCUUCAAACCUAAGCCCCAGUAAACGGCGGCCGUAACUAUAACGGUCCUAAGGUAGCGAAAUUCCUUGUCGGGUAAGUUCCGACCCGCACGAAAGACGCAACGACUCGGGCGCUGUCUCAACAAGGGACCCGGUGAAAUUGAAAUACCUGUGAAGAUGCAGGUUACCCGCGACUAGACGGAAAGACCCCGUGGAGCUUUACUGCAGCCUGACAUUGGGUUUUGGUAUUGGAUGUACAGGAUAGGUGGGAGGCGUAGAAGCCGGGGCGCAAGCCUCGGUGGAGCCAUCCGUGGGAUACCACCCUUCCAGUACUGAAAUUCUAACCGCGAACCGUAAUCCGGUUCCGGGACAGUGUCAGGUGGGCAGUUUGACUGGGGCGGUCGCCUCCCAAAGAGUAACGGAGGCGCCCAAAGGUUCCCUCAGCGCGGUUGGAAAUCGCGCGCAGAGUGCAAAGGCACAAGGGAGCUUGACUGCGAGAGAGACAUCUCGAGCAGGUACGAAAGUAGGGCUUAGUGAUCCGGCGGUUCCGUGUGGAAGGGCCGUCGCUCAACGGAUAAAAGCUACCCCGGGGAUAACAGGCUUAUCUCCCCCAAGAGUCCACAUCGACGGGGAGGUUUGGCACCUCGAUGUCGGCUCAUCGCAUCCUGGGGCUGAAGUAGGUCCCAAGGGUUGGGCUGUUCGCCCAUUAAAGCGGUACGUGAGCUGGGUUCAGAACGUCGUGAGACAGUUCGGUCCCUAUCUGUCGCGGGCGUAGGAGACUUGAGUGGAGCCGUCCCUAGUACGAGAGGACCGGGACGGACGGACCCCUGGUGUACCAGUUGUCCUGCCAAGGGCACCGCUGGGUAGCCACGUCCGGACGGGAUAAGCGCUGAAGGCAUCUAAGCGCGAAGCCCUCCACAAGAUGAGGUCUCCAGCCUGGCGCUCGUCCAGGGUAAGACCCCAGAUAGAUGAUCUGGUCGAUAGGCCGGGGGUGUAAGGGGAGCAAUCCCUUUAGCUGACCGGUACUAAUAGGUCGAGGCCUUGACCCU